rfam:Angiostrongylus cantonensis strain Taiwan genome assembly, scaffold: ACAC_contig0003487
ACCGUCUAGGCAAUCGGUUUUCACCCUGGUCUCAGAGUUAAAUGAAUCUGAGAUCAUCGUGAAAGCUAGUUGUCUUACUAUA